rfam:Clostridium argentinense CDC 2741 T732.Contig249, whole genome shotgun sequence.
UUAAAUACGAUGUAUAAUUUUGUUGAAAAAUUAAUAAAUUUAAGAAUUUAGGGAAGUUUGGUGAAAUUCCAACACGAACCCAUCACUGUAAGCGAUGACGAUGCCUAAAAUGCCACUGGAUUAAUUCUGGGAAGGCUAGGUUAAGGGUGAAUCGUAAGUCAGGAUACCUAAACUUAAAGAGAAAUAGAU